UAGCCUUUGCGCCUUCAGGGUGCUUUGGCACAUGACCAAAGCUAAGAGGGAAUGCGGUGCGAGGCCGCAGCUGCCCCCGCAACUGUAAACGGUUGUUUAAUCGAUGCUUUUCAGGAAGCCACUGCUCUUGGGCGGGAAGGCGAGAAGCGUUGCCGUGAGCCAGGAGACCUGCCUUGAACACAUUUCAGAA
rnacentral:ncRNA from 2 species